GCUUACUUCAGCAGUACAUAUUAAAAUUACAGUUAUAAAGAGAAGAUUAGAAUAGCCCCUCAACAAGGAACAACAUGAAAAUUCACGAAGCAUUCCACGUUUUA